GGCAGAGCUCCAUACAGAAUGAUCUUCUACCCAAUCAUAGAAAUCUACCAUGCCAUUAAGUUCAGAGGAAAUGCCUAUCAGUCACUGUAUCGAUUGCCUAACAGAGGAAUACUCCUGAAAUUUUCUAAAGAUGUAUCUCACAUUUCUGUUGGCAUAUGCUGCCUUCCCAUAUAUCUUCAUCAAGUGAAUAAGUUUGCCACUGAGCACUUCCAUGCAAACACUGAUGAUCUCACUGCUUUGGAGACUGCUGUUUACUUGGCAAAGUUAAUAAAGGUGAAUGCAAGAUGACUUCCAAACCAGGCUUUAAUGCUUAUGAAGACAGUGUCAAAAUCUGAAAACGUUUAGAGGUGCUAUUAAUUCUGCACAUUCAUAUGGAAAGAAUGCUUUGUCAGAAUCUGUUUUGUUCUGCUCGAUGACUUGUGUAUAUAGAAAGAUGAGAUUUUAUACUGAACUGUAGACUCAUUAUUCCUUUCAGAGAAUGACUGAAAUGAUUGUCCUUCUUUGCCGUACUUACGGAGAUUUAUAGCCUUGUCUUUUAGCCUGAUGUACCAUAUAUCUUUUUCACAGACCAAUAUUAAAUCCAGUUUUCCUUGAAAGGCUUCCAUUGUAAAAGUAAGAGAUGACUGGGCUGCUGCACCAGGGAACUUUUAGGAGCUGAGGCAAUUCUGAAUGAAGAUAUUUAUCUAGAAGGGAACUAUCUGUGCAGUAUCAAAGUACGUAUGCAUGGAUGGAACCACUGACAUACUGGGAAUAUACUGUCAUGAUUAUUUUAAUGCUGUUAUUUUAAUUGUUUAGUUGAACAAGACUGAUCUGAUGGGGUAUGCUAAUAGCUAAAUUCCUCUGAGAGGAAUCUGCCUCCAUUCAUUAACAUUACUGACCAAGAUUAGUUGCCAGCAUGUUCUUGUGGGAGAUGACAGAACAGGCUGUGGUGCAGUACCUCCUCCUCAGGGAUUCAGCUGUAUUUUAAUGAUCAAGUUCUCUUUCAGCUCAACAGAUAUAGAAUUUACAGUCUUUCUUCUGUCCACUUAAGUUUACUUAUUUAAGACUCUACCACCAAGCCAGUGCAGAAAUCACACAGCCUUCUAGUGCAAUACCUGCAGUAACGCACAUUACCAUCUCAGCACGUCUUGCUAUUUCAGGGUUUCUUAAUUAACACAAGACAAAUGAAACCACAGGACUCACACUUGCAAAUGUAUUUGGUUGGAGGAUCUAUAAACUCAAAGCAAACCCAAAACCCAGUUUUGGACAUUCUCUUCUACUGUUCACUGCAUACAGCUCUUAUACAGGCUUGUUUGGACACCCCUCUCAUCAUCCUCACCAGUGACUUUUAUUUUCUAUAAUUCUUGGUUAUUUUAAAAUGUAGUGAUUAGAUGGCAAGUAUGAAAAAGCAAGCAAACAAUUAUGAGAAAGAAUGGUUCUAAUUUUCUUUUGAUUUUUCUUUGGACUGUGGUGAUUCUCACAAGAAUAUCCUGUGCUGCCUUGGAAAGAAACGACUGUUCAAACAGGAUGUUCCAUUAUUUUGUUAUGUAGACCUAUUAUUUAUUGAUUUAACCAAUUUAUUAUUGAUUACUCCAAUGGUAGGCAAACCUCUUCUAUGGAACUUUCACAAUAAAUGAAAAAAAAAAGAUCAAAAUAGAUAUCUAAUUUCAAAGGUCUGAGAGAAUGAUGAGCAAAUUGAGUCAACAGAAAUCAAAUAAAACUAUGCAGCAAGAUAGAGUUUGCCCUGUUUUACCCUGAGUGCAUCAUGCAGAUGAUACAUGUAAGAAUGGACAUGGCAUUAGAACUAUACUAACAGGGAAUACCUUCCUAACAUGUUGUAGUUUGGGAUUGGCUCUGCACCUUGAGAAACUAGCAAAGCUGAUUUGUCAUGGGAAGUCGUCUUCGCUUUAAGUGCAAGGGAAAUACACAGCCCUAGGCUAUUUUCACUCACUUGAUCGCAAAAACAGAAAUCCACAGAACUAAGGAGGAACCAAAAACAGUGCCAGCAGCAACAAAAAGCACAAAACACUAGUAGUCACAUUACCCAUAUUUCCAUCCAGCUUUAAUCAGUCUUCUGUUUGUUUGCAAUGUACAGCAAUGCUAGCGAGAGACACAACAGCCCAUUUGCUUCACUGAGAUUUGUUUGUAAAUACUGAAUGGCGAGAUAAAAAAUUUCAAGCCAAGUGAUUUUCUUGGUGGAUAUGGGAAAGGCUGUUGACAUAGUCUGCCUAGACUUCAGCGAAGCCUUUGAUGCUGUCUCCCACAUUAUUGUCCCAGAGAAGCUGGCAGCCCAUGGCUUGGACAGUUUGCAGGUGACACCAAGUUGCGGAAGUGUGGAUCUGCCUAGAGGGAGGAAGACCUUACAGAGGGAUCUGAACAAGUUGGGAUUGACGGGCUGAAGCGAAUGGGAUGAAGAUCAGCAAGACCAAGCUGUGACAGAAAUAGUCCUCCUCAUAUAAUUGGGAUGAGACUUUUGAGUAAAGAACUGGAUGGAUUGGUCUCAUUGAUUUUACACCUUGAGCAAUCAGAGCAUUGCACAACCAAUAUUCCCACAAUCCCAAAUUGUCCCCAAACUGCAGUUAGAUGCAGUUCUUCAUAUAUGAGACACCAUAUUUUUUCUUCCAAUUUUUGCCAUCUCAAAGAGACCAGAAAGAAAAAGAGGUUAGGUUUUAUCAAAGGUCAUUUGUCACAGGCAACAAGAGGAGGAGAAUAAGGUAGAGAAGCAAUCUAGCUACUGCUUUUCUCCUUUUUUCUAUGUUAUAAGGGAGAGGGCCUGAGAAAUAAAUAAGUGCUCCUGCACCCAUCCUGUUGCAAGCCUUUGUACAGCUGAGUUCAAAAUCUAGAUCAUACUAAGGCAAAAUACUACCCAGCAAUUCUUGCUUAAAAUUGACACACACAAAAAAUUUAUAUUUUGUCUUCAUAAGAGGUGUAGUGUUCUUAAUUUCAGAAAAAAUAAGAAUCCAGCAUACGUUUUCUGUAAGCAUGCACUAGAUUAUUCAUGUUUUUUUGUAAAAAGCAUAACCUUGCUUAUCUACUCCAGCUACAGACGCUUAAUAAACUUUUUCAGAAUAAUUAAGUCAGCUCUCUGUCAUCUCACACAGCUAAUUUGACUGUUGUUUUGAAUAAAUUAUUAAUGGAAUAAAUGAAUUAAGCAACUUAUUUGUUAUUAUUUAAAUGUAACUCGUAAUUCAUAAUCACUACAACUCUUCUGUACUUUAGAAAUUAACAUUACCAUAUUUUUGCCCUCUUGCACAAUUUAUUUAAUAUCUCAAAGGCAGUGAAUAAAAACCAAGCCCCUCAGAUAGAGUAAGUCACUGCUUGUGUCCUAGUAGAGCUGGGACAGUUUAUCCAUUUUUCUGAUUAGCUUUGAUUACGCAGAUAUAAUCAGCAAUUUCUAACUUAUAACCCCAAAGGAGAAGAAGAGUAUUGAGAGAGAGAGUAAAAGACCACCGACAGAGAAUACUGGGGUUUGUCUAAGAACAGAUAAGAGGCAUCUUUUCUAGCUGCUGAAUUUUUGCAAGCACACUUCCUUGCUGUCCACCUUGGGCCGCCUCCCAUCCCUUCAGGGAGGUGGCUGCUGGUCUGGGAUGCUGGAUCAGAAAGUUGGUGCCAUCCCUACUUUGUGGCUGCUCACAUUCACACCUCCCAGUUGUUGCCGCCAAAUUCCGUGGAACAUCACCAGCCUCCAUCUCCUCACAGAUCCCUGAUCUCCAGGACCUUCUCCUACUUCUAGGAUCCUUUCUCCAGCCAAGAACUUAAAUUUAUUUUCAGGCUUACUGCUUUUUUUUCCCCAAGAACUUUUCUUCCCAGCACCCCUACCUUUUCUGGCAUGCCAAGACGCACUUUUUUCCUCAGUUUAAACAGUUUGAAGUGCAACACAGGAGCGACCUCCCAGAUGAUGGUCCUGACUUCAAUCUUGUUAAUAACUGGAGGACUUUGGAUAUGUCACACUUGUAUAGUGGUCCAGGUGUUCACAACACAACCAGUCUACCAGUCACAGGGAAGGAACAGGCAGCAGCCUUGUUGAGAGCUCAGUAGUUCACAUGUGGACAUUAACUGCACACAUACGCUUGGAUUACCUGCCACUUGCUAGAAGUCACAGCUUGAGCUAUUGUUAGCCUACAACAUGAGUAGUUAAUAUUAACGUGAUUCCACUUCCAGGAAGACAACUGGAUUAAUUUUUACUCAUUUCAAUAAUUUUCCAUAAUACAUUUUCCAAGGGCUGAUAAUCACAUACAAACAUGUUUUUCUGAAAUGGUUCAGCUAACCCAUUACAGUUGUUUGCCCACUGAAUUCAGCUACUCGUGUGUGAAUAAUAAAACUUUUCUAAAAAUGCUGUUAGCAUGAAGAGCUUUCAGAAGUGUAUUUUGAGCUGAUUAACAGUUCUGUUUGUAUUACAAACAUGGUCCUUUAGAGAAUUAAGGAGCAAAAAGCAUUUUCAGGUUUCACUAAAAUUAUUUGAGGAAGCCAUGGAAAAAAUGAAACAUGGCAUUUUUUGUUAGCUCUUGCUCUGCACUGCUAUUAUGGAUGAUAAUUUAUUUUAGGUACAUUAAUAAGCUACCUGGUUGAUUAACCAUAAAGCAGAAUAUGGCAUCAUUGCUCCUUUUACUGUUACUCAUGCAAAUCACAGGCAGCAGCUGAUGGAGUCAAUCUGUGCAAUUUUAACCCUUCUUAACCAGACAUUUUAGCAGGGAUGUACACAUUUUGCUGACUAACAGUAGACUUCUGUGUGUCACUGCCUUAAGUACAUCCUUAAGUGGGUUGCCCAACUGUGGCCCAAAGAUGUUGCUUGGGUUGUUCAAAAGGUUGCAAGACUAACUUCUUAGGUGAGAGCCUGGCAACACUAGGAAGAUGCUUCACCAAUUGCAGCAAUUAACAAAUAUGUCAGUGAAGCAGAAGAUGGAAGUUGUACAGAUGAUCACAUAGAUCUCUCAUAUGAGAUACAAAGUUCAAAAUGUAAUUAAUUUUUUUUUCUUUACAAUCUACCUCUUCUAGUGUCUCUCCUAAAUCACAUUUUAAAGGGCAAAUGACACCACAAAGAAUGAGUGACUGCCUUUAUAUAAUUCUUCCAGGUAUACCAGCUUGAUGAGAGUAGUUUGUAGUCUUUGCACCAUUUUAUCAGUUUAAAAAAUGUUCAAGAAAGAAUCUAGAUCAGUGAAAAGACUAUUUUACUGCUACAGUUCCAAAAGGAGAUUGGAAAAUUUUUAAAGAAGCAAUCAUUAGUAGCAUAACAGUUUAUAUCCCUGUUCAGAAAGAAUGGUUCACUAGAGCAAAAUUUAAAAGAAAACAACAAAAAACGCAGAAAGAGCUACUGGACAAAAUCACACACUCAGUGUUUGACAGGCAUUUUCAGCAGCUCAGAGGGCUGUAGAAGGUAUAUUUUCCAUUCAAACAGAAUACUACAAUUAGGAAAAACAAUAAUAGGAGCUUACUGAUGACACUAAUUUUGCAGUGCUUUUAAUGUUUUAGUUAAGCACGUAAAUGAUAACGGUAAUGAUACAAACCAGAGCCUGAACAAGAAGAGGCAGAGACUUUCUAAGCCCUUGGCUCCCAGUCCUCACCCACCAGUUCCCAUUGCAGACCUCCACGCUGCACCCGCUGACUUUGUCUUUUGACUGAAACUCAUUUCUCAGUCUCAGUUCCCAGCCUCUUGUCCCUAUUCUGCUCAACAACCCUCACUUGUAUUUUCCUAGCACAUCACCAUACAAUUUCUCACCUCCUAACUGAUUUUGCAAUUCUCUCAACACCUGUGCAGUCUCCCAUCUUUUCUCUUCAGCAAAACUGUCCUGCAGUUUAAUCUGCCUGGCUUCCUCACAUAGCUAAUUUCAGUUUUCCCUGGGAUCAUUGUUAUUCAGCAUCUUCCUUCCUUCCUUCCUACACCUCCCCAGUCUCAUUAUCUUGCAGUGACAGUCUCCUGCAGGUUCCUCAUCCCCCUCCAUAGCUGGCUUUCUGUCUUGCUGGUGCUUUUUUCAGAGCAUCCCGACCGAACCCAUGUCCCUUUAGGGACCCGUUAAGUUACUUGAUCAGGGCAUCCAGAGCAGUACAGCCAACCACUUGCCUUCUCCUUUCUGGUCUUAUCUCCUCCCAUUACACCUCUGCACCUCAGUGGCACUGCAGAACUCUUUGGGUCUAUCAGUGUCCCCAAGCUGAGGUACGUAACCACAAAAGCUCGGGGAAUGAAAUGAGACAGACAGGAAAGGACUUCUGAAGAAUUACUGUUAGGCAUCAACAAAUGGCAAACUUUGAAUAGAUUAUGUGAUUGAGGAGUACUUGGCAUAUAUUGUUAACAGCAGGAAAAGAUACAUCCUGACAAAAUCUAGACCUGUUCAAAGAAAAGAUCAAAACACUCCACUUUGAGUAAGAAAACGUUCAUUUCUGUAAAUUCCUUUUUUUUUCAGAAAGGCUAAACACUGUUUUUCACUUGCCUGCAGGGUUUUGACUUCAGACAAAAGCAGAUAGCUGACAUAGAUGUUUUCAGCCAAAAUGAUUACAGUUUUGGAAAACUUGCAACUCACUUGAAACACAGUUUUACACAGAAAUAAUAUAUAACAUAGCCUGUGUGUUCAGUUUUGUCAGCAGUGUUAAAGCUCAGAUUCAGGUAAGUUUUAAAUGGCAAAAGCACAAGGAUAUAUGCAACUACAAAUGUUAAUCCAUAAGUGAUAUAUACAUAGUAUAUGAGAAUAUCUCUUCCUGAAGCAGAAACACUGCUUUUAAAGGAAAUACUAGCACUGCUUCUUGUCAGCAAUGGAAAGUCAGGAAAAUAGCAGCAAAACUUAGCCAGCCUCAUAUGAGAUUGAUUUCUAGCAUCAGGCUUAUAAAUGCAGAGAAGAAUUCUCCACUACUGUUGUAAAAGGAAAUCUGACACCUUUGUACAUGUAAAUCCUGCUGCUGAUUUUAGAGAAGCUAUUGGAAGUUAAAUAAUUAUUUCAGCUUUAGAUUCAGAUUCGCAAGAAAAGUAUAAUGCUGUAACAGAUAGGGACAGAACUACAACAAUACAAUCAAGUUAUAUCUACCACAGUAACCCUGCAUAAAUAUUCUGUUGUGCUGAGAUGUGUGACAUUACAGUACAGAACAUUUAACGACUGUUUCUACACUUCCAGCACCCUAGCAAGCAAGAGGUAAGAAGGGUAAAGAUUCUGGGACUGUAGCCCAACAUAUUUGCCAGCGUACAAAACUUGCUCAAGCUCAGAAGGCUGUGAAGCUGUCAGGCUCCAUUCUGAGCUCUGCUGCAGAUUACCUUUGCAACCCCUGGCUUAUAACUUGAUCUGAAUACAAAUGCAGUCACACUAGCUGCCUGAGCACAUGGUGCUUCCAGGGAAAAAGCAUUUGCCAAAGGAAGGAGAUGUGGAGAUAUUAUGGACUACAUUACAAUCCCGAUGGCACAAAAUUGUUAACCCACAGCUCCAGUUUGAGUUAAUCAGAUCUUCAAAUAGUUACUCUCCUCUAUGACAAACAAACAAAUAAAUAAAUAAAAAUCAAGCUAGAACAGUUUCUUUGCUGCAGUUUCACAUAUGUAAUUCUGCAAUAAACACCACCUCCUUCCAUGCUGAAGGCAAGACUAUUGGUGUUUGAAUUGAGCAGGAUACAGCAGUGAGAAAAUCUGUAAAUAACUACCUAGGUAAAGACAGAAAUACUUGGAAAAAAAAUUUUGAUUUCUUGGAGAAAGAAGUAUGUCAUAUGCAGAUUGUAAAUGUCAUGUUAAAAGGGCUAGCUCACCACAUUUCAUCUUGUUAGUAUCCUACAUGGUUCUGAGAAUCUGCUCCUUUGUGUAAAGUCUGUAAAUAUGGAAAUCUGUAUUCUUCUUCUCUUGAUUUGUACUUGAACUUGAUUUGUACACUUGGAAAAACAAAUCUAAAUAUACAGCCUGAAUAAACUCAGUGAGCAGCCUACCUUGCAGUUUCAUGGUUGCAUUGUGUUUCUGUUAGUUUUUCCACUAAGGCUUUCCCUUAGAACUGGCCUGUCACUAAUUCAGACUCAGUU